GACGAACGCUGGCGGUGUGCUUCACACAUGCAAGUCGAACGGGGUAGCAAUACCCAGUGGCGGACGGGUGAGUAACGCGUAGAAAUCUGCCUUUAGGUGGGGGAUAACAGUUCGAAAGAACUGCUAAUACCGCAUAUGUGUGUAAUUCGACAGUUUUACACAUAAAAGGAGCAAUUUGCCUGAAGAUGAGUCUGCGUCCGAUUAGCUAGUUGGUAGGGUAAAGGCCUACCAAGGCGACGAUCGGUAGGUGGUCUGAGAGGAUGAUCACCC
rnacentral:rRNA from 1 species